rnacentral:rRNA from 1 species
UUGGCCGGGCGACGGUUGUCCCGGUUUAAGCGUGUAGGUGUGUGUUCCAGGUAAAUCCGGUUCACUUUAACACUGAGGCGUGAUGACGAGGCACUACGGUGCUGAAGCAACAAAUGCCCUGCUUCCAGGAAAAGCCUCUAAGCAUCAGGUAACAUCAAAUCGUACCCCAAACCGACACAGGUGGUCAGGUAGAGAAUACCAAGGCGCUUGAGAGAACUCGGGUGAAGGAACUAGGCAAAAUGGUGCCGUAACUUCGGGAGAAGGCACGCUGACACGUAGGUGAAGUGAUUUACUCAUGGAGCUGAAGUCAGUCGAAGAUACCAGCUGGCUGCAACUGUUUAUUAAAAACACAGCACUGUGCAAACACGAAAGUGGACGUAUACGGUGUGACGCCUGCCCGGUGCCGGAAGGUUAAUUGAUGGGGUCAGCGCAAGCGAAGCUCCUGAUCGAAGCCCCGGUAAACGGCGGCCGUAACUAUAACGGUCCUAAGGUAGCGAAAUUCCUUGUCGGGUAAGUUCCGACCUGCACGAAUGGCGUAAUGAUGGCCAGGCUGUCUCCACCCGAGACUCAGUGAAAUUGAACUCGCUGUGAAGAUGCAGUGUACCCGCGGCAAGACGGAAAGACCCCGUGAACCUUUACUAUAGCUUGACACUGAACAUUGAGCCUUGAUGUGUAGGAUAGGUGGGAGGCUUUGAAGUGUGGACGCCAGUCUGCAUGGAGCCGACCUUGAAAUACCACCCUUUAAUGUUUGAUGUUCUAACGUGGACCCGUUACCCGGGUUGCGGACAGUGUCUGGUGGGUAGUUUGACUGGGGCGGUCUCCUCCUAAAGAGUAACGGAGGAGCACGAAGGUUGGCUAAUCCUGGUCGGACAUCAGGAGGUUAGUGCAAUGGCAUAAGCCAGCUUGACUGCGAGCGUGACGGCGCGAGCAGGUGCGAAAGCAGGUCAUAGUGAUCCGGUGGUUCUGAAUGGAAGGGCCAUCGCUCAACGGAUAAAAGGUACUCCGGGGAUAACAGGCUGAUACCGCCCAAGAGUUCAUAUCGACGGCGGUGUUUGGCACCUCGAUGUCGGCUCAUCACAUCCUGGGGCUGAAGUAGGUCCCAAGGGUAUGGCUGUUCGCCAUUUAAAGUGGUACGCGAGCUGGGUUUAGAACGUCGUGAGACAGUUCGGUCCCUAUCUGCCGUGGGCGCUGGAGAACUGAGGGGGGCUGCUCCUAGUACGAGAGGACCGGAGUGGACGCAUCACUGGUGUUCGGGUUGUCAUGCCAAUGGCACUGCCCGGUAGCUAAAUGCGGAAGAGAUAAGUGCUGAAAGCAUCUAAGCACGAAACUUGCCCCGAGA